rnacentral:rRNA from 1 species
GGACUACUGGGGUAUCUAAUCCUGUUUGCUCCCCACGCUUUCGUGCCUCAACGUCAGGAAUGAGCCAAGAAGCUGCCUUCGCCAUUGGUGUUCCUCCCGAGAUCCACGCAUUUUACCGCUACUCCGGGAAUUCCACUUCUCUCUCUCACCCUCUAGUCAACCAGUUUUCAUCGCAGUACUCCAGUUGGGCCGGAGCCUUUAACAACGAACUUAAUAAACCGUCUACACACCCUUUACGCCCAGUGAUUCCGAAUAACGCUUGCACCCUUCGUAUUACCGCGGCUGCUGGCAC